CCCUUAGAUGUCCUGGGCCGCACGCGCGCUACACUGAUGCAUUCAACGAGUUCUACCUUGGCCGAGAGGCCUGGGCAAUCUUUUGAACCUGCAUCGUGAUAGGGAUAGAUUAUUGCAAUUAUUAAUCUUGAACGAGGAAUUCCUAGUAAACGCAGAUCAUCAAUCUGCAUUGAUUACGUCCCUGCCCUUUGUACACACCGCCCGUCGCACCUACCGAUUGAAUGGUCCGGUGAAGCCUCGGGAUUGUGGCGAGUUCCCUUUGUUGGGAGUUUGUCGCGAGAACUUGUCUAAACCUUAUCAUUUAGAGGAAGGUGAANUCGUANCA
rnacentral:rRNA from 1 species